rnacentral:other from 1 species
AUAUCCCUGCCGUGCACGUUGGAUAUGCGAUAAUUGGUGAACCAACACCAAUCUAAGGGGAGCUUAACUCUCUUUUUGCUUCGGCAAUAAGGGGAAGGCACCCACUUGUAAAGAAACCGGUUCACAACCUUCCAUUCCAACGGCACAUGCGGGGAUUUU